rnacentral:rRNA from 1 species
AUUGAACGCUGGCGGCAGGCCUAACACAUGCAAGUCGAACGAGUGGCGGACGGGUGAGUAAUGUCUGGGAAACUGCCGGAUGGAGGGGGAUAACUACUGGAAACGGUAGCUAAUACCCCAAACCAUCAGAUGUGCCCAAAUGGGAUUAGCCAGUUGGGGGGGUAACGGCUCACCAAGGCAACGAUCCCUCGCUGGUAUGAGAGGAUGACCAGCAACACUGGAACUGAGACACGGUCCAGACUCCCACGGGAGGCAGCAGUGGGGAAUAUUGCACAAUGGGCGCAAGCCUGAUUCAGCCAUGCCGCGUGUAUGAAGAAGGCCUUCGGGUUGUAAAGUACUUUCAGCGGGGAGGCGUUACCCGCAGAAGAAGCACCGGCUAACUCCGUGCCAGCAGCCGCGGUAAUAC